rnacentral:rRNA from 1 species
GUGCCAGCAGCCGCGGUAAGACAGAGGGUGCAAACGUUGUUCGGAAUUACUGGGCGUAAAGCGCGUGUAGGCGGCUACGUAAGUCGGACGUGAAAUCCCAUGGCUCAACCGUGGAAGUGCGCUCGAAACUGUGUAGCUUGAGUCCUGGAGAGGAAAGCGGAAUACUUGGUGUAGAGGUGAAAUUCGUAGAUAUCAGGUAGAACACCAGUGGCGAAGGCGGCUUUCUGGACAGUGACUGACGCUGAGACGCGAAAGCGUGGGGAGCAAACAGGAUUAGAAACCCUCGUAGUCC